rnacentral:ncRNA from 1 species
CGACCUCAGAUCAGACGAGAUCACCCGCCGAAUUUAAGCAUAUUAGUAAGCGGAGGAAAAGAAACUAACCAGGAUUCCCCGAGUAGCGGCGAGCGAAAAGGGAAGAGCCCAGCGCCGAAUCCCACGUCCCGUCGGUCGGACGUCGGGAAAUGUGGCGUGAGGGAGCGCUUCGAAACUCACACAGAUUCGCGUCCGGAGCUCGCUCGCGAGUCCAAGUCCAUCUUGAAAGAGGCCACAGCCCGGAGAGGGUGCCAGGCCCGUAGAGGCGGCGGCGAGUUUCGGACGGGAAGCGUCUCCUCAGAGUCGGGUUGCUUGGUAGUGCAGCCCAAAGCAGGUGGUAUACUCCAUCUAAGGCUAAACACGGCCACGAGACCGAUAGCGAACAAGUACCGUGAGGGAAAGUUGAAAAGGACUUUGAAGAGAGAGUUCAACAGUACGUGAAACCGUUC